rnacentral:rRNA from 1 species
UACGUAGGGUGCAAGCGUUGUCCGGAAUUAUUGGGCGUAAAGAGCUCGUAGGCGGUCUGUUGCGUCGGCUGUGAAAACCCGGGGCUCAACCCCGGGCCUGCAGCCGAUACGGGCAGACUAGAGUUCGGCAGGGGAGACUGGAAUUCCUGGUGUAGCGGUGAAAUGCGUAGAUAUCUGGAGGAACACCGGUGGCGAAGGCGGCAUCCUGGACCGGCAUUGACGCUGAGGCGCGAAAGCCAGGGGAGCAAACGGG